UACGGGGGGGUGCGAGCGUUGUCCGGAAUCACUGGGCGUAAAGGGCGCGUAGGUGGCUUGGUAAGCGUGUGGUGAAAGCCCGGGGCUCAACCCCGGGUCUGCCAUGCGAACUGCUAUGGCUUGAGCACUGUAGAGGCAGGUAGAAUUCCCGGGUGUAGCGGUGGAAUGCGUAGAGAUCCGGAAGAAUACCGGUGGCGAAGGCGGCCUGCUGGGCAGUGGCUGACACUGAGGCGCGACAGCGUGGGGAGCAAACAGG
rnacentral:rRNA from 1 species